rnacentral:rRNA from 1 species
AGAGUUUGAUCCUGGCUCAGGACGAACGCUGGCGGCGUGCCUAAUACAUGCAAGUCGAGCGGACAGAUGGGAGCUUGCUCCCUGAUGUUAGCGGCGGACGGGUGAGUAACACGUGGGUAACCUGCCUGUAAGACUGGGAUAACUCCGGGAAACCGGGGCUAAUACCGGAUGGUUGUUUGAACCGCAUGGUUCAAACAUAAAGGGUGGCUUCGGCUACCACUUACAGAUGGACCCGCGGCGCAUUAGCUAGUUGGUGAGGUAACGGCUCACCAAGGCGACGAUGCGUAGCCGACCUGAGAGGGUGAUCGGCCACACUGGGACUGAGACACGGCCCAGACUCCUACGGGAGGCAGCAGUAGGGAAUCUUCCGCAAUGGACGAAAGUCUGACGGAGCAACGCCGCGUGAGUGAUGAAGGUUUUCGGAUCGUAAAGCUCUGUUGUUAGGGAAGAACAAGUACCGUUCGAAUAGGGCGGUACCUUGACGGUACCUAACCAGAAAGCCACGGCUAACUACGUGCCAGCAGCCGCGGUAAUACGUAGGUGGCAAGCGUUGUCCGGAAUUAUUGGGCGUAAAGGGCUCGCAGGCGGUUUCUUAAGUCUGAUGUGAAAGCCCCCGGCUCAACCGGGGAGGGUCAUUGGAAACUGGGGAACUUGAGUGCAGAAGAGGAGAGUGGAAUUCCACGUGUAGCGGUGAAAUGCGUAGAGAUGUGGAGGAACACCAGUGGCGAAGGCGACUCUCUGGUCUGUAACUGACGCUGAGGAGCGAAAGCGUGGGGAGCGAACAGGAUUAGAUACCCUGGUAGUCCACGCCGUAAACGAUGAGUGCUAAGUGUUAGGGGGUUUCCGCCCCUUAGUGCUGCAGCUAACGCAUUAAGCACUCCGCCUGGGGAGUACGGUCGCAAGACUGAAACUCAAAGGAAUUGACGGGGGCCCGCACAAACGGUGGAGCAUGUGGUUUAAUUCGAAGCAACGCGAAGAACCUUACCAGGUCUUGACAUCCUCUGACAAUCCUAGAGAUAGGACGUCCCCUUCGGGGGCAGAGUGACAGGUGGUGCAUGGUUGUCGUCAGCUCGUGUCGUGAGAUGUUGGGUUAAGUCCCGCAACGAGCGCAACCCUUGAUCUUAGUUGCCAGCAUUCAGUUGGGCACUCUAAGGUGACUGCCGGUGACAAACCGGAGGAAGGUGGGGAUGACGUCAAAUCAUCAUGCCCCUUAUGACCUGGGCUACACACGUGCUACAAUGGACAGAACAAAGGGCAGCGAAACCGCGAGGUUAAGCCAAUCCCACAAAUCUGUUCUCAGUUCGGAUCGCAGUCUGCAACUCGACUGCGUGAAGCUGGAAUCGCUAGUAAUCGCGGAUCAGCAUGCCGCGGUGAAUACGUUCCCGGGCCUUGUACACACCGCCCGUCACACCACGAGAGUUUGUAACACCCGAAGUCGGUGAGGUAACCUUUUAGGAGCCAGCCGCCGAAGGUGGGACAGAUGAUUGGGGUGAAGUCGUAACAAGGUAGCCGUAUCGGAAGGUGCGGCUG